rnacentral:rRNA from 1 species
ACUCCUACGGGAGGCAGCAGUGGGGAAUAUUGCGCAAUGGGCGGAAGCCUGACGCAGCGACGCCGCGUGAGGGAUGACGGCCUUCGGGUUGUAAACCUCUUUCAGCUCCGACGAAUUUGACGGUAGGAGUAGAAGAAGCACCGGCCAACUACGUGCCAGCAGCCGCGGUAAUACGUAGGGUGCGAGCGUUGUCCGGAAUUAUUGGGCGUAAAGAGCUCGUAGGCGGUCUGUCGCGUCGAAUGUGAAAACCCGGGGCUCAACUCCGGGCUUGCAUUCGAUACGGGCAGGCUAGAGUUCGGUAGGGGAGUCUGGAAUUCCUGGUGUAGCGGUGAAAUGCGCAGAUAUCAGGAGGAACACCGGUGGCGAAGGCGGGACUCUGGGCCGAUACUGACGCUGAGGAGSGAAAGCGUGGGGAGCGAACAGGAUUAGAUACCCUGGUAGUCCACGCCGUAAACGUUGGGCGCUAGGUGUGGGGGUCCUUCCACGAUCUCCGUGCCGCAGCUAACGCAUUAAGCGCCCCGCCUGGGGAGUACGGCCGCAAGGCUAAAACUCAAAUGAAUUGACGG